rnacentral:rRNA from 1 species
CCAAUAGCGUAUAUUAAAGUUGUUGCAGUUAAAAAGCUCGUAGUUGAAUUUCGAGACCGGCUUACUGGUCGUGCUAUUGUGCGUACUGGUAUAAUCGGUUUCUCCUUUCUGACGAACUAUAAUGCCAUUAAUUUGGUGUUAUAGGGAAUCCGGACUGUUACUUUGAAAAAAUUAGAGUGUUUAAAGCAGGCCCACGCUUGAAUACAUUAGCAUGGAAUAACGGAAUAGGAUGGUUGAUUCUAUUUUGUUGGUUUCUAGGAUCGACGUAAUGAUUAAUAGGGAUAGUUGGAGGCAUUAGUAUUCAAUUGUCAGAGGUGAAAUUCUUGGAUUUAUUGAAGACUAACUACUGCGAAAGCAUUUGCCAAGGAUGUUUUCAUUAAUCAAGAACGAAAGUUAGGGGAUCGAAGACGAUCAGAUACCGUCGUAGUCUUAACCAUAAACUAUGCCGACUAGGGAUCGGAUGAUGUUAAUUUUUUAAUGACUCAUUCGGCGCCUUACG